AUUUGAAAUCUGGCGCAAGCCCGAGUUGUAAUUUGUAGAGGAUGCUUCUGGGUAGCGGCCGGUCUAAGUUCCUUGGAACAGGACGUCAUAGAGGGUGAGAAUCCCGUAUGUGACUGGCUUGCACCCUCCACGUAGCUCCUUCGACGAGUCGAGUUGUUUGGGAAUGCAGCUCUAAAUGGGAGGUAAAUUUCUUCUAAAGCUAAAUACCGGCCAGAGACCGAUAGCGCACAAGUAGAGUGAUCGAAAGAUGAAAAGCACUUUGGAAAGAGAGUUAAAAAGCACGUGAAAUUGUUGAAAGGGAAGCGCCCGCAACCAGACUUUGCGGCAGUGUUCGGCCGGUCUUCUGACCGGUUUACUCGCUGUCGUGAGGCCAUCAUCGUCUGGGACCGCUGGAUAAGACCUUAGGAAUGUGGCUCCCCUCGGGGAGUGUUAUAGCCUCUGGUGAUGCAGCGCGUCUCGGGCGAGGUCCGCGCUUCGGCAAGGAUGAUGGCGUAAUGGUUGUCGGCGGCCCGUCUUGAAACACGGACCAAGGAGUCUAACAUCUAUGCGAGUGUUCGGGUGUCAAACCCCUACGCGUAAUGAAAGUGAACGGAGGUGGGAACUUUUUGUGCACCAUCGACCGAUCCUGAUGUCCUCGGAUGGAUUUGAGUAAGAGCAUAGCUGUUGGGACCCGAAAGAUGGUGAACUAUGCCUGAAUAGGGUGGAGCCAGAGGAAACUCUGGUGGAGGCUCGCAGCGGUUCUGACGUGCAAAUCGAUCGUCAAAUUUGGGUAUAGGGGCGGAAGACUAAUCGAACCAUCUAGUAGCUGGUCCUGCCGAAGUUUCCCUCAGGAUAGCAGUAACGGUUUCGGUUUAUGAGU
rnacentral:rRNA from 1 species